rnacentral:rRNA from 1 species
CGGACGGGUGAGUAACACGUGGAUAACCUACCUAUAAGACUGGGAUAACUUCGGGAAACCGGAGCUAAUACCGGAUAAUAUUUUGAACCGCAUGGUUCAAAAGUGAAAGACGGUCUUGCUGUCACUUAUAGAUGGAUCCGCGCUGCAUUAGCUAGUUGGUAAGGUAACGGCUUACCAAGGCAACGAUGCAUAGCCGACCUGAGAGGGUGAUCGGCCACACUGGAACUGAGACACGGUCCAGACUCCUACGGGAGGCAGCAGUAGGGAAUCUUCCGCAAUGGGCGAAAGCCUGACGGAGCAACGCCGCGUGAGUGAUGAAGGUCUUCGGAUCGUAAAACUCUGUUAUUAGGGAAGAACAUAUGUGUAAGUAACUGUGCACAUCUUGACGGUACCUAAUCAGAAAGCCACGGCUAACUACGUGCCAGCAGCCGCGGUAAUACGUAGGUGGCAAGCGUUAUCCGGAAUUAUUGGGCGUAAAGCGCGCGUAGGCGGUUUUUUAAGUCUGAUGUGAAAGCCCACGGCUCAACCGUGGAGGGUCAUUGGAAACUGGAAAACUUGAGUGCAGAAGAGGAAAGUGGAAUUCCAUGUGUAGCGGUGAAAUGCGCAGAGAUAUGGAGGAACACCAGUGGCGAAGGCGACUUUCUGGUCUGUAACUGACGCUGAUGUGCGAAAGCGUGGGGAUCAAACAGGAUUAGAUACCCUGGUAGUCCACGCCGUAAACGAUGAGUGCUAAGUGUUAGGGGGUUUCCGCCCCUUAGUGCUGCAGCUAACGCAUUAAGCACUCCGCCUGGGGAGUACGACCGCAAGGUUGAAACUCAAAGGAAUUGACGGGGACCCGCACAAGCGGUGGAGCAUGUGGUUUAAUUCGAAGCAACGCGAAGAACCUUACCAAAUCUUGACAUCCUUUGACAACUCUAGAGA